UUGUUUUUCCUUGAAGCUGAC
rnacentral:piRNA from 1 species